rnacentral:rRNA from 1 species
GUUGAAAAAUUAGCGGAUGACUUGUGGCUGGGGGUGAAAGGCCAAUCAAACCGGGAGAUAGCUGGUUCUCCCCGAAAUCUAUUUAGGUAGAGCCUUGAGCGGACACCUUCGGGGGUAGAGCACUGUUUCGGCUAGGGGUCCAUCCCGGAUUACCAACCCGAUGCAAACUACGAAUACCGAAGAGUGAUACUCAGGAGACACACGGCGGGUGCUAACGUCCGUCGUGGAGAGGGAAACAACCCAGACCGCCAGCUAAGGUCCCAAAGUCUAUAUUAAGUGGGAAACGAAGUGGGAAGGCUUAGACAGCUAGGAUGUUGGCUUAGAAGCAGCCAUCAUUUAAAGAAAGCGUAAUAGCUCACUAGUCGAGUCGGCCUGCGCGGAAGAUGUAACGGGGCUCAAAUAUAGCACCGAAGCUGCGGCAUCAGUAGCAAUACUGUUGGGUAGGGGAGCGUUCUGUAAGCGGAUGAAGAUGGCUCGAGAGGGCUGUUGGACGUAUCAGAAGUGCGAAUGCUGACAUAAGUAACGAUAAAACGGGUGAAAAACCCGUUCGCCGGAAGACCAAGGGUUCCUGUCCAACGUUAAUCGGGGCAGGGUGAGUCGGCCCCUAAGGCGAGGCUGAAAAGCGUAGUCGAUGGGAAACGGGUUAAUAUUCCCGUACUUGGAUAAACUGCGAUGUGGGGACGGAGCAGGUUAGGUUAUCGCACUGUUGGAUAUGUGCGUUUAAGUUUGUAGGUGUGAAGUUUAGGCAAAUCCGGACUUCUUUAACACUGAGAGAUGAUGACGAGGCUCUACGGAGCUGAAGUAACCGAUACCACACUUCCAGGAAAAGCCACUAAGCUUCAGGUUUAUCUAAACCGUACUGAAAACCGACACAGGUGGUCAGGUAGAGAAUACUCAGGCGCUUGAGAGAACUCGGGUGAAGGAACUAGGCAAAAUAGCACCGUAACUUCGGGAGAAGGUGCGCCGGCGUAGAUUGUAGUCCCUUGCGGAUGAAGGUUGAACCGGUCGAAGAUACCAGCUGGCUGCAACUGUUUAUUAAAAACACAGCACUCUGCAAACACGAAAGUGGACGUAUAGGGUGUGAUGCCUGCCCGGUGCUGGAAGGUUAAUUGAUGGUGUAAUCGAAAGAGAAGCUCCUGAUCGAAGCCCCAGUAAACGGCGGCCGUAACUAUAACGGUCCUAAGGUAGCGAAAUUCCUUGUCGGGUAAGUUCCGACCUGCACGAAUGGCAUAAUGAUGGCCAGGCUGUCUCCACCCGAGACUCAGUGAAAUUGAAAUCGCCGUGAAGAUGCGGUGUACCCGCGGCUAGACGGAAAGACCCCGUGAACCUUUACUAUAGCUUGACACUGAACAUUGAAUUUUGAUGUGUAGGAUAGGUGGGAGACUUAGAAGUAGUCACGCCAGUGAUUAUGGAGUCGUCCUUGAAAUACCACCCUUUAACGUUUGAUGUUCUAACGAAGAUUACGAAACGUGGUCUCGGACAGUGUCUGGUGGGUAGUUUGACUGGGGCGGUCUCCUCCCAAAGAGUAACGGAGGAGCACGAAGGUUUGCUAAUGACGGUCGGACAUCGUCAGGUUAGUGCAAUGGUAUAAGCAAGCUUAACUGCGAGACAGACAAGUCGAGCAGGUACGAAAGUAGGUCAUAGUGAUCCGGUGGUUCUGAAUGGAAGGGCCAUCGCUCAACGGAUAAAAGGUACUCCGGGGAUAACAGGCUGAUACCGCCCAAGAGUUCAUAUCGACGGCGGUGUUUGGCACCUCGAUGUCGGCUCAUCACAUCCUGGGGCUGAAGUAGGUCCCAAGGGUAUGGCUGUUCGCCAUUUAAAGUGGUACGCGAGCUGGGUUUAGAACGUCGUGAGACAGUUCGGUCCCUAUCUGCCGUGGGCGUUGGAGAAUUGAAAGGGGCUGCUCCUAGUACGAGAGGACCGGAGUGGACGCACCACUGGUGUUCCGGUUGUGUCGCCAGACGCAUUGCCGGGUAGCUAAGUGCGGAAGAGAUAAGUGCUGAAAGCAUCUAAGCACGAAACUUGCCUUGAGAUGAGUUCUCCCUGUCUUUAAGACAGUAAGGGUUGUUUAAGACUAAGACGUAGAUAGGUCUGGUGUGUAAGCGGUGCGAGCCGUUGAGCUAACAGAUACUAAUUGCCCGAGAGGCUUAACUAU